rnacentral:rRNA from 1 species
UACGUAGGGUGCGAGCGUUGUCCGGAAUUACUGGGCGUAAAGAGCUCGUAGGUGGUUUGUCGCGUUGUUCGUGAAAACUCACAGCUCAACUGUGGGCGUGCGGGCGAUACGGGCAGACUGGAGUACUGCAGGGGAGACUGGAAUUCCUGGUGUAGCGGUGGAAUGCGCAGAUAUCAGGAAGAACACCCGUGGCGAAGGCGGCUCUCUGGGACGGUACUGACGCUGAGACGCGAAAGCGUGGGGAGCAAACAGG